rnacentral:rRNA from 1 species
AAUUUUAUUUAAGGUCUGACCUGCCCUAUGAGAAAUUAAAUGGCCGCGGUAUUUUAACCGUGCAAAGGUAGCAUAGUCACUUGUCUCUUAAUUGGAGGCUUGAAUGAAGGGUUGGACGAGAUAUAAACUUUCUUUAUUAUAAUYAGUUGAAUUUGACUUUUGAGUCAAAAGGCUUAAAUAUAUUUAUAGGACGAGAAGACCCUAUAGAAUUUUAUAUUUUUAUUUUAAUAAUUUAUUUGUUUAUGAUUAAAUUUUUUUUAUAAAAAUAUUUUGUUGGGGCGAUGGGAAGAUUUUUUUAACUCU